rnacentral:rRNA from 1 species
UACAGAAGCCUCAAGCGUUACCCGGAUUUAUUGGGCGUAAAGGAUGCGUAGGCGGUUAUAUUAGUCUUGUGUUAAAUCUUUGGGCUUAACCCAAAGUUCGCACAGGAAACGGUAUAACUAGAAGAAGUGAGAGGUGAACAGAACUCUCGGUGUAGGGGUGAAAUCCGUUGAUAUCGAGGGGAAUACCAAAUGCGAAGGCAGUUCACUGGCACUUUCUUGACGCUGAGGCAUGAAAGCGUGGGUAGCGAAUCGG